CGUUAGCUGUCCUAUUGUGGGAGGAGCUAAUAAGACUACAAAACAGGUCACAUGUUGCUGCUAUCCUUCAUUUCAUGUCAUUGUUUGUUUAUCUUUUUCCUCAGACUCAUGGUGUCGCUGCGUAACUUCAGUUUAUAUAGAUUUUUUUUAACACAUGCACAGAUGUAAAAAAGAUCAGAUCAACCUGUAUACAUGCAUGAAAACAUCAGAAUAUUGGGGAGAAAUCUAGGUGUGUUGAUCUGAUUUCUCCUAAUCAGAUAACUGUCAUUCUGUGAUAAAGAAGAUCAGAUUAUCGUGUUUACAUGAUCACUGGAAUAAUCAGAUAACUCCAGACAUCGGAUGAUAAUCGGAAUAUUGGUGUGAAUGUAAACAAGCUCAGGGGGGUCCAGUCAGUAUGAA